GACGAACGCUGGCGGCGUGCUUAACACAUGCAGGUCGAACGGAAAGGCCCUGCUUGCCGGGUACUCGAGUGGCGAACGGGUGAGUAACACGUGGGUGAUCUGCCCUGCACUUCGGGAUAAGCCUGGGAAACUGGGUCUAAUACCGGAUAGGAGCCAUUUUUAGUGUGAUGGUUGGAAAGUUUUUUCGGUGUAGGAUGAGCUCGCGGCCUAUCAGCUUGUUGGUGGGGUAAUGGCCUACCAAGGCGGCGACGGGUAGCCGGCCUGAGAGGGUGGACGGCCACAUUGGGACUGAGAUACGGCCCAGACUCCUACGGGAGGCAGCAGUGGGGAAUAUUGCACAAUGGGCGCAAGCCUGAUGCAGCGACGCCGCGGGGGGGAUGACGGCCUUCGGGUUGUAAACUCCUUUCGCUAGGGACGAAGCUUUUUGUGACGGUACCUAGAUAAGAAGCACCGGCUAACUACGUG
rnacentral:rRNA from 1 species